rnacentral:lncRNA from 10 species
UCCUAACUUCCAGCUUUGAAAUAGGACUGAAGAUGAACCAUGCUCCUGGCACCCCCUGUUGAGAGCCCAAGUUCAGCAGAUUGCGGCCAUGGGGGACUGAAAAUGGAGCCCUGGACAAAGACACUUGCUGGGUGACCCAAGGCAAGCAGAAGUUUAUCUAGUACCUCACAGUAGAUAUUCCUAAUCCAGCUGCCCAGUGCAUUACACAGGGCAGGCUCUUUUCCAGGGCAUAAAGGUGUUUUUUCUGUUGUUUUUUGUUUUUAAUUCCCCUCCUGUUUUCUUUAGUUUUGCUUUUGUUUUUUUAUUUCUCUCUAGACUUUCCAUGUACACUAUGAAUGCCAAGUGCUGUGAAUACCAACCCAUGCUUUCAAAGAGCCUGCUGCCUCAGAGCAUGUGAUGUGGAACUUUCUGGUGGCCUCGGCGUGGAGGUUCUCAACCUCAGCUGCACACUGUGUUUAGUUGGUCUGGAGCGAGAUCUAGGCAUCAGUAUAUUUUUUAAGCUCCCCAUGUGAUUGUAAUAUGCAGCCAAGAAUAAAAAAAAAAAACACUGGGCUAGGUCAUUCCUGGCCGAGGUGAGGAGGUGGUGAGAUGGAUUGGAAGGGGACCAUGGCAAGGAUUCUUAGGGGUGUCAAGGAGGAGAUGAAAGGAGGACUCAGACAAGGGGAUCUGGCAAGUUUUCAGAAAUCACCUGCUGAUGCCUUUUAAAGCUAAUGCCAUUAUUGAAUCUUAGUCAUCCAUUCAUCCUCUACUCACCAGUGACUAAUAUUGAUGUGUUUUAGACAUAUAAAGAUGAAUUAAGACCCAGUCCCUGCCCUUAGGCGGCACACAGUAGGAGAGACAGACUCAUGAACACAUGGUGGUGUAAUCAAAGUUAGUCAUGGACUGUAUAUGUACUCAAUUCUGGGGCCCACAGGGCACCCCAUUCUGUGGGUAAGGGGCAAGCUCACCCCAAUGUCAGGCAUACUAGGAAGAGGCUAAAGCUAAAAUAUCCAAUGAGAGCCUGCAAGGAGGGCCUUGGACAGGGGAAAGACAAGAACUUCUUGGGCUUUCUGGGCUUCCUCUCCAGAG